rnacentral:misc_RNA from 1 species
GUAACAAGGUCUCCGUUGGUGAACCAGCGGAGGGAUCAUUAUCGAGUUACCAACUCCAAACCUUUGUGAACAUACCACAGUUGCUUCGGCGGCCUCGCCCCGGGCGCACCGGGACCCCUCCGGGGGGACCGCGGCGACCCGGACCCAGGCGACCGCCGGGGGACCCAAACUCUUGUCUUUUAGUGUAUUAUCCGAGUGGCAUAAGCAAAUAAAUUAAAACUUUCAGCAACGGAUCUCUUGGUUCUGGCAUCGAUGAAGAACGCAGCGAAAUGCGAUAAGUAAUGUGAAUUGCAGAAUUCAGUGAAUCAUCGAAUCUUUGAACGCAUAUUGCGCCCGCCAGUACUCUGGCGGGCAUGCCUGUCCGAGCGUCAUUUCAACCCUCAGCACCCACCGUUCGCGGAGGGAGCUGGCGUUGGGGAUCGGCCGUCCUCUGCGGCGGCCGGCCCCGAAACCAAGUGGCGGUCUCGUCGCGACCUCCUCUGCGUAGUAGCAAUAUCUCGCAGCCUGGAUAGCGGCGCGGCCACGCCGUAAAACCCCAACUAUACCAAGGUUGACCUCGGAUCAGGUAGGAAUACCCGCUGAACUUAAGCAUAUCA